CGAGGUCUUGGUCUUAAACCCCCUGUUACCUCUACCUUUAUUUAUACAUGCAAGUUUCAGCACAACAGUGAAAUAACCCCCCCCCACACUGGGGGACGACAUCAGCAUAACCUCGCCUGAACGUCAAGCAAAAGCCACGCCCCCACGGGCACGCAGCAGUAAUUAAUAUUGAGCCAUAAGUGAAAACUUGACUCAGCAAAAGGUACCGCCCCUAGGGGUGGUUAAUCUCGUGCCAGCGACCGCGGUUACACGACAAACCCAAGAUAACACCAACGGCGUAAAGCACGACUAAAAUCUAGACAAGCAUUAAGGAAGAACCGCGCUAGGCUGUAAAAAGCCAUAAGCAGCAAGAAUCCCCCACCUUACACCCAAACUAAUUCCACUCGUGAAAGUUGGGGUACAAACUAAGAUUAGAUACCUUACUAUGCCCAACCAUAAUACAACAAUUAAACCACAAAUUGUUCGCCAAAUAACUACGAGUAAAAACUUAAAAUUUAAAAGACUUGACGGUACUUCACAACAACCUAGAGGAGCCUGUCCAAUAACCGAUAACCCACGAUUAAUCCUACCCCCUCUAGCCUACAGUCUAUAUACCGCCGUCGCCAGCCUACCUUGUGAAAGAGAUAAAGUAAGCAAAACAAUACCACAUUAACACGACAGGUCGAGGUGUAACUAAUGGGGGGGGAAAGAUGGGCUACAUUUUCCACAAGAACAGACGAAUGCGGCUACGAAGCCGGCCGCUGAAGGAGGAUUUAGCAGUAAGAUAAGAAUAAAAUGCCUAACUGAAACAUGCAAUGAAGUGCGUACACACCGCCCGUCAUCCCUGUAAUACUACUAUAAAAAUAUAUAAUAACUACCACCAAUAAAGCAGGGCAAGUCGUAACAUGGUAAGUGUACUGGAAAGUGUACUUAGUAACAA
rnacentral:ncRNA from 1 species